UCUUUCCAGUCGUUUAACUCUAAUUUCUCCCUUAUUUCCAGUCCGAGCUUUGAACCUUCGAGUCGAAAUCUUCCAUCCACAUGCUUCUCCGAGCUUCUAUUAACGGUUAAUACCUACUUCUUCUUCCGACAAGCUAGCUUGUCCGAGGCUCCGAGCUUCCAUCCACCUUCUUCAGGUGACAGAGUGGCAGGUACCUUCUCGGGUCUCGCGGCUACUCCGAGCUUCGACCGGGGGAAGGGCAGAUAGAUUGAAUCGACUGAGUCGAUUAUGCUCCCAGAAUUUCGAUUUCUAUACUGCCUUAGCAAGCUGAGAGGCGAGGUGGAUCAGCGAGGUGGGUCUUCGGGUCAACAGGCUCCAUCGGGUUCGUUGGAGGAGUCAGUGGUCAUUGGGGCCGCAAGCCGUGGGAUUCCGCUGCCGCUGACUACCCCCCUGCUACUCCUCCUGCUCCAUUCUUUGUAUUCAACAGAUCUGUGUUAGUUUAUCGCCACUCUCAUUUGAUGCAGGCAUGCUCAAUCAUGAUAACUGGCUUUUUAUUCCUAUAUUUGUCUCCAUUCUUUUUCCAUGUGAAUGGAAUGAUUUUGUGUUUCAGGGAGAAGAUGAUCCAGCUAUUUCUCUGAUCUUGCAGAUAAAUGCAUUCAAUCAAUACACAGUUUGAAAAAUCCUUCUGUUGUCUUGACAUCUUAAGCUUCGUUUGACAGAAUAAUAUUCUGACUCCACCCACAAGUUUGCUCCAUUCUCUGUUUUCUAUACCUGGAAGAGCAAUCUUACUGUAUCAUACUGUCUGCCCAGCGUUUUCUUUUGGCUUGGAGUUUGAAAUCAUGGAUGUUAAUAUGUUAACAUAUCAGAAUUCAAUUUACAUCUUUUUUUUGUCCCAGUGUAUAAAUUUGUUACAGUCUAAGCGCACUGUUAUUAAUCCAAAGUUUUUGUACUAUCUAAGGCCACUAUCUUAAUUGAAUUAUGAUUUGGACCUUGAA